UUUCUUAAGUGGUUUUUACCAUGGUGCGAUUAAAAUCCCCCUCAUAAAGUCAUCAUGUCCGACGAAGGUUCUAACUUUUAUCUUCGCCUCCACCACGAUUUCCGAUUCCAGGGUUGUACGCAAAAAUCCCACGCAGCCUUAGUUAUCUCUUCUUCCCACAAAUUUAAUUCGAAUUGAAACCCUGGAACACCAUCACUAAAGGUCGGAAGAUCAUCUGCACGCAUUCAGAUCGAAAUCGAGCCUUAUAAUUUGGGCUUUAGUUCGAAAUCGAGUACAACAGCAAUGCUUAACGCCUACCAAGUGCUCGACGAAAUGCCGUCCAUAUGGGUUUGAUUUCAAUUUCGAUUUUUACUUGGACCAACAUCAGGUAUGUGGUCUUUUAAAAUUUCCAGUGAAGUUUUUUUUGUCUAUCUAGGAAAACCUUGCAACUAUUUGAUUGUUAUUGUGAAGUUAAUGAAACGGAAACAGGAAGCAAUCUUUCUGUGUCAUGAAAAUCUCUGGAUCAAUAGCGACCCAUUUAGAUAGAGUUCUUCUCACUUUUACUUUGUAUUUUCCAAAUUUUGACUCUCUUAUCUCUUUGACUCUUUAGUAUUGCAAACCUAUCAUUGUCUAUUAGAUAUUACUUCCAAAUCUUGACUGCAAACCUGUGAUCAUAGAUUCGGAUGCCUCAUUUGAUGUGAGCCACAAUUUGAUUAUUCAUUUCUUUAAAUCUUGACUGCCUCUUGUUGUUCUUCAUUUGGUAAUUAAGUGUUGCUGUUUAUCGAACUUUACAAAAUGUAAUUUGUAAUAAUAUUGCUCCACUAACAACGAAAUGAGGUAUUUGCUUUUGUAAAGAAGAUUCAAUGCUAAUUGUCAUAAUUGUUGAGAAAUAUUAAUUCCACUAAAGGUCACAAGGUUAGAUUGUAGAAUUGUUGAGGCGUUUGGUGUGCUAUUUGAGAGUGGUUAUCUGAUCUAUUAUUUAAUUCAUAAAAACAAUAUAACAUUUUUAGAUAAGGUUUAACAUACAAAUACAAAUUAAUAUAAACCAUAGAUAUAUUAUAUUUUGUUGACAAUAUCUAUUUAAGAAGCAUAAAAGGAAAUUUAUAUGUAAGAAAAAGUUAUUGAGAAAAAUAAGUUUGACGAAUAAAAAAAAAAAAAGAUGCCGCUGCCAGGAGUCGAACCUGGGAACCUCACGGAGGAAACUUUUAUCCAAUUGUUUUCCUUCAGCGGCUUAUGUUGCUCCAUCUUUAUAUUAUAUAUUUAUAUAUUAAAUCAUAUGGAGUUGGUCAACAGAAACUUUUGGGAUUUAGAUUUCUGCCACAAAACUUUCUAAGAUUUAAACAUUUGCCACAAUAGCCCCCCGCUUCCUUACAUUACAUCCCAGUCAUAAAUCCUCCACCGACUCCAAUAUUUUUGCCCUCAACUCCGUUUUCCCUCUUAAUUUUCAUUCCCACCUCCAUCAACACACCACCGCCUCCCUCAGCCUUCCUCCGACGUCGUUUUCCUCUCCGAUGCUUUUCUGCUUCAAACCUGGACCAGAAGACGGAGUUGUCCCUCUGUACCCCUAAAUCCACACAGCAGCCACCACUUCUCAUGUCGCCAACCACCAUCAUCUUUUUAUUCUUUUCAGAGAAGUUAUGCGUGUGAAUUUGGAAUAUGUUAAUAAUUGCUUAUCGUUUUUUUAUAUUCCAACAGCGAUCGCCCCUCUUUUUCUCUAUAUCUCUCUCUCUCUUUUAUUAUUGGUCAAGAUAUCGGCUAAUCAGUGAUAAAACCAAUUUCUCUUAGUGGGUGAUUAAUUUUUACUUUCGAUUUUUAUGCUUUUGGAGAAUCUUAUGUUGGUUUUGAUGGUUUUUUGAUGAUUUAAAUUGGCUUGAUGAGCUUUCUGUGUUUAUUUUUGUUCUGUGUAGCAAGUUUUGUUAUUUAAUUAAGAUAUAAAAGCCAAUUUAUUUUGGUUUGUUUUGGCUGUGAUUCACUUUCUCUGUAUACCGUCACUUCCCGAUCCUCUUCAAUGCUUUGAAAAAUAUGGUAUGAAAUUUAUUUACGAUUUUGCCCCCUGCAGUUUAUUCUUGUAUAUUAUAUAAAAUGUAGAAUUUGUCAGUUUCCAAACAGGUAAUGGAAGUACCAUGCUUUAGAGAAACCUCAUUAUUAAUCUAAUGAGAUCUUGUAGUGAUGGACAUCAAGUUUAUAGUCACCUGUAACUUUUUUACAUUUCAAUUAAUAACAUUUUUUAAAAAUCUUUUUGAUUUCUAUCUUUAAAUUCCUUUUGUAGGUCAAGAAUUUAAGAAUUGGUGCCAUGAUGAGAACUGUUCUUCCUUCAUUUUUUUUCCUUUGUUGAUGAUUCCAAGAUUGAUUUUCUACAGUCGUGGUUUUUUUUUUUUUUACUGAUAUACCCUUUUUUAUCAGGGACUCAUUAGUGUAGCAGUUGUUGAAGCAUAUAAAAUGCUCCCAAAUUUGGAUUUGCUCGUCUCUUCAAGGGUUCAGUUUUUUCAUAUCAACAUUAUCAAUGGUUCCUAGCAUACCCAUUAAGCCAAUGCUCUCAAAGAUUGCUAAUGGGAUGACUCCCUGAAGUCUUGAAGCUAUUUUUAUGUAUGAAUUUCAGUUGGGGAUCAUUGAUAUGGAGUGUGAGUUGACUGAUCCUGAUAAUCUAUCAAAUCAGAUAAGAACACUAAAGUCAAUUAAUGUUGAUGAAGUUAUGGUUGAUACAUGUUGGGGAAUUUUAGAAGCCAACACUGCUAAUUGAUUAUCUUAGAAUUUAUCUGUCUCUUUUGACCUGUGUCAUGCAUGUAGAUCCCCACACCUCUUUUGAUUGUCUUUUAGUUCAGGAAGUGAAUGUAUGUUCUUUCAUCGUUUAUAUAAAGUCACAUAAAUCAAAUACAAAGGAAAAUACAAACUUUUUUUCAUCAA